CCAGGAUAAGCGUCGUUGGGGCAGGUCCUGGGUAGAGUCCAGGUUGGCGGGUCCUGGGGCGGAGUCAGGAUAGGGCGAUCCUGGAAGCUGGGCUUCAGAAGCGUCCAGAUAGGGUCUCUCUCUCUGCCACCCAGGCCAGAGUGCAGUUGACGCAGGGCAGGGGAGCCCCGAAGUGGAGCAUAGUGUGUCCGGAACUGGUGGGUUCUUGGUCUCACUGACUUCAAGAAUGAAGCCGUGGACCCUCACGAAACUCCUGGAGAGCAGAGCCAUGCCUGCCAUUUCCAUCAUUGCAUUACCACCACCCAGCACAGUGCCUGGCACAAAAGAGUUGCUCAAUAAAUAAAUCAGGAUGAAUGGAUAAAUACACGGACAGGCACUUUGAACUACAGAUGAGCUUAAAUACUUUGUGUUUUUCUUAGUCAAACAUGUGCAAUUAAGCAUGUGAUAAAUUAUAUGAUGACCACA
rnacentral:lncRNA from 1 species